rnacentral:lncRNA from 1 species
CCAGAAAAUCAGCAGCAUGGCAGCCUCCUGGUAAUGGAUUGUUUAAACUUAACGUAGUCAAGGCAAUUUACACAGGGAAAGGGCUGAUUGUAUGGGGCGGAGAUUCAGUAACAUUUACAAAACAAAAAUGCUGCUAGUGCUAUGAGUUCGACAGGCUCUUGUCAUUCAGAAAAUGCAGAGAUCUUAGCUCUUCAUGGUCUAGUCUUCAAAUGGCCGAGGAAUUAAAUUUAUAAAUUGAUAUUGUGGAGUGUGAUACACAGAAAUUUUUCCAGAGACUUCACCUAAUGCAAUGUUGCAACAAAUGCUCUUAUCUAUGAGGAUGUUGUAGCUUUACUUCAAGAGGUUAAAUGUGACUUUUGUCAUUUAUUCCCCGAUUGGGGAUAAAGUACCCCCACAAUUUAGCUUCUGUAGCUACCUUGUUAUCUAGCAAUGUCUACUGGCUGGAUUCCUGUCCGUUAUUUAUUUCCUCAAUAGUAUGGGAUGAAUUAUAUCAAUAAUAAUUCCUCUUCUUUUCCAACAAGGAAAAAAAAAAAGUAAAAGAAAACAACACCAAGUACUGCAAAGUACAACAAGACAUUAUGAAAUUAAAGAUCACUUCAAAUUUAACAUUUUACCAACACAAAGAAAAUCUAGUUAAAGUGUUAAACAUUCAUCAAUAAAACAAUCCCAAGUUACCCAACCCAACCAAAGCUUUAAAAAACAGUGCAACUCUAAAUACAUUCGAGUAGCACUUUCUAGGAAUUGGGAUUGAAUCCAAAAGGUUAGCCAUUUAAAUGGAGUAACCAAUCCCUUUUAAUCCCAUUAUCUGCCUUAUGUCCACUGGAUUGUGGGACUUUUUCGCACUUUUACCAUGGCAGUACACAAACUCAUGGAAAAAUCGAUAAAUAAAUAAAUCCAAGAACUUAAAAUAAACAUAGAAAAUUUCAGAAAACAAGGAACCUGUUUCUGAAGACGAAUGAUCUGAAAGUGAAGGGUAACCUCGUUGGAGACUUCAGAGAAGCACGUGACUUGCACACCACCACCAUCUUGAGUAGUAUGCUCUUUCAUAGUCAACUUAUUUACACUUUGUGUUGCAGUUUCAACGCCAUUACCGAAUGCUUCUUUCGACUCAUUAGGAUCCAUUACAAGAUUUUUCUGUUUCUUCACGAAAAAUUUUACUGAAAAAUCACUUGUUCGGGCUCAAACAAUUUGGAAUUUUUCUUCUCUUUCAUCACUUUCUAUGACCAGAAAUUUUCGUGUUUUGUUUAGAUAUCAAAAGGCCAAGCCGCCAAUUUUGGACUUCCG